AGGUUUUGUGCAAUUUUCGACUUUUUAAAUAAGUUUGUGGCUUUUAAUUGGAUUAGUUUGAAUUUGAACCUCAUUUUUAAUUUAUCUACGAGUCCCCGCUCCUAACCCAAGGCAUAAUCAUUGUGCAGAUUCCGAUCCAAAUGAACAAAGUUUUCUUCUAGUUUUAAGGAUGUUUUAUCAUCCCAUUUCAUAAACAACCCAUUCAAGAUUUUGGGUUCAUUUUUCAACACUUUGUUGAGUGUGCCAACGACACAACAAUGUCGCUUUUAAGGUCCUCCAGGUCAUGUAACUUUUGCUUUUUCAGUAUUGACGAAAAUUCUCAAGAGGGGUUAUCCACUAGAUACUAUAACUUUGACUGUAUUACUCAAGGGUCUCUGUCUCAAAGGUGAGGUUCAUAAAGCAUUGCACUUUCAUGACAAGGUAGUAGCUCAGGGCUUUCGUUUAGACCAAUUUAGUUAUGCGACAUUGAUCAACGGGUUAUGUAAAGUUGGAGAAACAAGCGCGGCGCUAAAAGUGCUAAGACAAGUUGAUGGGAAACUUGUUCAACCUAAUGUGGUAAUGUACACUACAAUUAUUCAUAGUUUAUGUAAAGAUAAAGAGGUUAUUGAUGCAUUUGAUUUAUACUCUGAAAUGGUUGCCAAAAGAAUUUCUCCUAAUGUUUUCACUUACAGUACUUUAAUCUAUGGUUUUUGUCUUGUUGGUCAAUUGAUAAAAGCAAUUCAUAUGCUAAAUAAAAUGAAUUUGGUAAACAUCAUCCCAGAUGUUUACACCUUUAGUACAUUGGUGGAUGCUUUUUGUAAAGAAGGUAAAGUGAAAGAAGCUAAAAUAGUGGUGGCUUUGAUGAUGAAAAAAGGUGUUGCACUUAAUGUUGUUAGUUAUAACACUUUAAUGGACGGAUAUUGUCUUGUAAAUGAAGUGAACAAAGCCAUGGAUAUUCUAAACAUUAUGUCUCGAAAAGGAGUCGUUGCUAAUGUUCGGAGCUACAAUAUCAUGAUUAACGGACUUUGUAAGGUUAAAAGGGUUGAUGAAGCUAUGAAGCUCUUUGAAGAAAUGCAUUGCAGACAAAUUUUUCCUAAUACGGUAACUUACAAUACCCUUAUAGAUGGUUUGUGCAAAUCUGGGAGAAUAUCACAUGCUUUGAAACUUGUCGGUAUGAUGCAUGAUAGAGGUCAACCGCCUGAUAUAGUUACUUACAAUUCUAUAUUGGAUGGUUUAUGCAAAAGGCAUCACGUUGACAAGGCAAUUGAAUUGUUAACGAAAUUUAAAGACCAAGGUAUUCAACCAAAUGUGUGCACGUACAGUAUUCUUAUCAAUGAAUUGUGCAAUAGUGGAAGAAUAAAGGAUGCAGAAAACGUUUUUGAAGAUCUUUUGGUCAAAGGCUACAAUCUAGAUGUCUAUACAUAUAAUGCUAUGAUCAAGGGAUUUUGUAUCAAGGGUUUGUUUGAUGAAGCACUGGCCAUGAUGUCUAAAAUGAAAGAUAAUGGUUGCAUUCCGAAUGCUCUAACUUAUGAAAGAACGAUUUAUUCUUUGUUGGGAAAAGAUGAAAAUGAUAUGGCAAAGAAACUUCUUCUUGAAAUGAUUGAGAAAGGUCUAUUGUAAGACUGAUACUAGGAGGUUUUAAUGUGAUGGAGCUGCCAUUUUCGAUUGUAUUGGUGGGACUGUGAGUGUGUGUUGCAGCAGGUUUCUUGUAUUUGGGUCUGUCUUUAUUCAGAUUAUCAGGAUUAAGACGAGAUGGGGCGGAUGACUCAUUUUGCCAUCCCUAGUUGGAGGAUAUGGUUGCCUGAGAUUCUUAAAGAUUGACUGUCAUGAUAUCGUGACUGCCGAUGUGUUAAUGUUUUGAAUAUUGUUACCACAGGAGGUGGUGGUACAAUAGAGCUUUUGUUGCUUUUGUAUGUACAGAUAUGUGAGAGGUCGAAGAAUGUUUCAAUUGGUGAGAACCUGCUCCGACGAAUUUGGGAAGUGGUUUUCUAAUUAGACCAUGCAGGGUGGUGGAUCUAUUAUUUACAUUGUUGAUCAUGUUGUAUUCAUAUUGUUGAUCAUGUUGUGACUUAGAUAUAAAGGUGAUACAAAAUUCAACUUGGUUUUGAAACUUGCAUAUUUUUCAACCUUUAGUUCUCAAUUUGUAACCUUUAGCAUAAGGAUAUGAAAUUAUAUAUAUUUUUUAUGUUAUCA